AAUCUCCAGCCACUGUGACAUCAGUAUCAAGAUCAAGCUCAAUACAGGAUCGCAUCAGGAAGGCCGCCCUGUAGGCAAGACUUCCGACAUCCAACUCAACUGAGCUGAGCGGCGGCCGCGGGACACUGAAUUACCUGCCGCACGCCGGGGACACGCAGGCAGGUCUGUCAGGCCAUCAAGCCCCUCAACACCACCACCACCACCAGCGUCAUGGAGGCUGCAGGGAGGGACGGCAGGAUGGCAGGACGGAGACAGGUGAUGAAGAACAUGAACACUGGCGGCAGCCCUGAGGAGUGUCCAGUGUGCCUGACAGGCUAUGAUGGCACCGUGCAGCGGCCGCGCAACCUGCCCUGUGGCCACACUGUCUGCACGCUGUGCAUAGACCAGCUGGAGGAGCAGGGCCGUGUUGCCUGCCCAGAGUGCCGCGUCAACCAUGCUGUGCCCGAGGGAGGGCAGUUCCCUGUCUGCUAUGCUAUUGAGGCCUUUAUGAUGAGAGACGCUGAGGUGGCAGCAGCAGCAGCAGCAGCCUCGCCGCCACCCAGUGCCGGGGAAGGAGCACCAUCAGGGGCGGCUGGCAAGAAGGAGACGGCGGGUCUCUCCAAGAAAAUGCGUUCCUUCCUGCAGGAACAGGAGGCCACAGUUGUGGCCGCCAUCACCGCCUGCCGGGAGGCUCAGUCGCAGCUGGACCAGUACCAGACGACCCUGGCAGGCUGGGGCAAGCAGCAGCAGCAGCUGGAGGACAGGCUCCUGGGACUGGUGGACCAGAGCAGGAGUGCCAGGGAGCUCCUGCAGCAGGAAGAGUCCCGUGUGGCGGCCAAGGAGGAGGAGCUGAAGAAGGAGGAGCAGGGGCUGCAGGCCAUGCUGGAGACGUUGCGCACCCUUGCAACAGAGCAAGAAGCAGGCGCGGCGGUGAGUGAAGUGUUUCGUUGUACUGGCGAGGCAGAGCAGGCGGUGGAGGAGUGCCGAGAAGGUUUUCCUGAUGCCAGCACCGUCACCACCGCCAGGAAGGUGAGAGAGGCAUCUAGUGCAGCCCUGGAGGCUGUCCAGGCUGUCCAGGCAGCUCUGGAAACACUUGCUACAGAGGAGCCCAGGCCCCAGGCAGACCCAGACUCCACAGUCAUGGACAGACUGCACCUCAUCUGUACAUGGAGCGUGACGGCCGAGGACCUCCGCAGCCUGACGCAGCCCGCCAGGCGCCUGCUGGAGGCUGGCCGGGUGUUUGCUGUCCACCAGGCGGAAGGUCAGCGCCGACACGCAAGAAUAAGCCUUGAAGCCGGCCAGCUGUGCCUCCACGCCCUGAAGGACCAUUCCCCGCCACUGGGCGCGGCAACCCUGCAGGUGAGCGAGGUUGUGCCGCCCUCCCCCCCCUGCACGGUGUUCCUGGACCUGUCCUGGCCGGGCAGCGCGCCGCGGCGGGUCCAAAUCCGUCUGAGCCCCGACACCCCGCGGGGCAGACAGUUCAUACUGUUGUGCACGGGGCAGCGCGGCCCCUCCUACGUUAACACCAGGUUGUUCCAGGUGUGGAGGAAGGAGGACAUGGGAGAGUGUGUCAUAGGCGGGGACUUCGAGAGUAAUGAUGGUAGUGGAUCAUCCGUCCUGCUGCCUGGCCUUGGUGAGGGUGAGUACCGGAAGUCAGGCCGGGCGGGGGAUGUGUAUUGGCCGCAGUGGGCUGACCGUACCCGGCGUAAGAAUGGUCAGUUUUCCAUCUACACCAGAGACCGUCAGGACGGUGGUGGGUCGCUUAGUGUCUUCGGUGAGGUGGUGGACGGACUGCACGUGGUGGCCGAGGCAGCCCAACACAAUGACAUUACGGAGGUGACUGUGGCGGACUGUGGUGUGGUGUUGUGAGGGUAAUGGUCACCACCACCACCACCACAGCAAGGUUUUGGAGGUGACUGUGGCUUGGUGUUGAGGGUAAUGGCCACCACCACCACCACAGCAAGGUUUUGGAGGUGACUGUGGCGUGGUGUUGAGGGUAAUGGCCACCACCACCACCACCACCACAGCAAGGUUAUGGAGGUGACUGUGGCGUGGUGUUGUGAGGGUAAUGGCCACCACCACCACCACAGCAAGGUUAUGGAGGUGACUGUGGUGUGGUGUUGUGAGGGUAAUGGCCACCACCACCACCACCACCACAGCAAGGUUAUGGAGGUGACUGUGGUGUGGUGUUGUGAGGGUAAUGGCCACCACCACCACCACCACCACCACAGCAAGGUUAUGGAGGUGACUGUGGUGUGGUGUUGUGAGGGUAAUGACCACCACCACCACCACAGCAAGGUUAUGGAGGUGACUGUGGUGUGGUGUUGUGAGGGUAAUGGCCACCACCACCACCACAGCAAGGUUAUGGAGGUGACUGUGGCGUGGUGUUGUGAGGGUAAUGGCCACCACCACCACCACAGCAAGGUUAUGGAGGUGACUGUGGCGUGGUGUUGUGAGGGUAAUGGCCACCACCACCACCACCACCACCACCACCACAGCAAGGUUAUGGAGGUGACUGUGGUGUGGUGUUGUGAGGGUAAUGGCCACCACCACCACCACCACAGCAAGGUUAUGGAGGUGACUGUGGUGUGGUGUUGUGAGGGUAAUGGCCACCACCACCACCACCACCACAGCAAGGUUAUGGAGGUGACUGUGGCGUGGUGUUGUGAGGGUAAUGGCCACCACCACCACCACCACCACAGCAAGGUUAUGGAGGUGACUGUGGCGUGGUGUUGUGAGGGUAAUGGCCACCACCACCACCACCACCACAGCAAGGUUAUGGAGGUGACUGUGGCGUGGUGUUGUGAGGGUAAUGGCCACCACCACCACCACCACAGCAAGGUUAUGGAGGUGACUGUGGUGUGGUGUUGUGAGGGUAAUGGCCACCACCACCACCACAGCAAGGUUAUGGAGGUGACUGUGGCGUGGUGUUGUGAGGGUAAUGGCCACCACCACCACCACAGCAAGGUUAUGGAGGUGACUGUGGCGUGGUGUUGUGAGGGUAAUGGCCACCACCACCACCACCACCACCACAGCAAGGUUAUGGAGGUGACUGUGGUGUGGUGUUGUGAGGGUAAUGGCCACCACCACCACCACAGCAAGGUUAUGGAGGUGACUGUGGCGUGGUGUUGUGAGGGUAAUGGCCACCACCACCACCACAGCAAGGUUAUGGAGGUGACUGUGGUGUGGUGUUGUGAGGGUAAUGGCCACCACCACCACCACCACAGCAAGGUUAUGGAGGUGACUGUGGUGUGGUGUUGUGAGGGUAAUGGCCACCACCACCACCACCACAGCAAGGUUAUGGAGGUGACUGUGGUGUGGUGUUGUGAGGGUAAUGGCCACCACCACCACCACCACCACCACAGCAAGGUUAUGGAGGUGACUGUGGCGUGGUGUUGUGAGGGUAAUGGCCACCACCACCACCACCACCACAGCAAGGUUAUGGAGGUGACUGUGGUGGUUCUUUAUUUUUUGUAAUGUCCAGGGUGAUGAUUUGUGCAUUACAUGAACACUUGAUAUGAGGCGCCACGUGCGAUAUUGGGGUAAACGCCAGUUUAUAAAAACCUCAGAAAUCACAGUUCAAGUUUUUGCAUCUUCAAAUUGCAAUUCUUUUGUUGGUUUUAAAGCUUGAAUCACCAUUUUGAUAACAAAAUAAAGCUUGUGUAAAGACAAAACUGCCCGUGUUAUGUAGGAAGCGCAAAAACAAAAAAGAAUCAGAAAAUAAUGCAAAAUUAAUAGCCUAAUAAAGCGACUACCGGCCACUCUUCAGAGCCUACAGACUUAACUGACGGCAAAACUCCCCUCAAGCAGAGAUGCCGUGAGUCGGAAGAUAAUGCAAAUUGUUGUAAUUAAUGUAGCUAGUCAUGUUCACUCAGAAAGAACUAGUUAAAAAUUGUCACUAGUCAAUUAUAAAAAGUACAACAAACAAAAGUACAUAAAGUCAGCUAUUGAAUAUCAAACAAAGUUAAAAAUUGUAGGAAAAAUUAAUUAGAUCAGUUAGACAUGACAACGGCAUCACUUCCUCCCAGAGCCUGCUGGGGACUUACAGCAUUACUCCACGCCAGCAUGCCCACCCUGCCUCGCGCGGACCAUACGUUUGAGCGAGACAUGUUUUUCCCCGAGACUUUUUACCCUAUUUCCAGUGUUGAUUUGGGGUAAACGACUUGCUCGGAUAAAAGAAGAAGGGUCAAAAUAGUAGUACAGGUAACUCUCGAUUUACGCGAGUUUGGUUUACGCGUUUUUGAAAUAACGCGGGGUCCAUAAUCCAAAUAAAUGUUUAAUUUAGGCGUUUUUUUCACUUAUACGCGAUAUUUUAUGGAGUGGCCACCAGAUGUCUCACGCAACUGGACUCACACGGCCACACAGCUGAGCUCAGUUCUUCCCGCGCACCACUUGAACAACAAUACAGUACCUACGCUGCCACGCUACUCAACAAUAGGGGUGGGCAGGUACCGGUACCAGUACUGGUACUAACGGUACCAGCAAUACGGUACGGUACUAGUACCAGACUGCUUGGUACCGGUACCAAUAUUAGCCAGCCCCUCAUGGUGUCCUUCAUUUCUUCCUCACACGAGAGAGGCUGAGAAUGAGUGCCCGAGUGGAUAUCUCGGUUCUGGUGACACGCGGCAUGCAGCUGUUUGAUGUAUGGGUCUGGUUGUGUGGUUUGUAAACAAUGCAAAUGGCGGCAAGCUGGGAUUGCGUGAAAUAACUCCUCGUUCAAGACUCAUGAUGUACAGUUUCUGAUAUCAUAUUCACCCCAUUAUUCUCACUAAUAUUAAUAAUUAAUAAUGAACACAUGGACAUUUUUUCCCAAUAUGAUUUUUUAUGUAGCUCGUACUGCUCCUUAGUCAUACAAUCUUAAGCCACCUGUGACAUCAAGAUCAAGAUCAUACAAAUGGCGCCCGACGGAAAAACGGGAUAACAGCAAGGCAUGGACGAUCUUCCACCGAUUUAGUCUUUGUAUAGUAGUUAUUAGAUCGCCCUGUAUUCUAUGGUAACAUAUUAUAGGACAGCUACGGACUAUGAAGGAUUAUAAACAAUAAUAAAGGUAACUUUGCCGUUGUUAUUGGAUAAGACGAAAAACAGACCCUUAAAACAUCCUAAAGAAGAAAAAAAAUCAUUAAAAAUUUGUACAUUCAGCGUAUAACGCGCAGGGCUAAACUUUCAGGCAUUUUUUAUGUGAAAAAAUGCGCGCUAUACGCCGAAAAUUACGGUAUUUAUUUUUCGACACAAACCUACCUCUUGUUUGAUUUACAUCGUUUUUGAAUUACGCGACCUCUUCAAGAACGCAACACUCGCGUAAAUCGAGAGUUACCUGUAUAUGAUUGUAACUCCAAACCCACGUGGUUGGCGCUUACCCCAAUAUUGCGCCUCAUAUAAUCUCUUAUUUCUUGCUGCAUUCCUGUAACAUCCAGGGUGAUAUUUUGUGCAUUACAUGAACACUUGAUAAUAUAAUCUCUUAUUUCUUGCUGCAUUCCUGUAACAUCCGGGGUGAUAUUUUGUGCAUUACAUAAACACUUGAUAAUAUAAUCUCUUAUUUCUUGCUGCAUUCCUGUAACAUCCAGGGUGAUAUUUUGUGCAUUACAUGAACACUUGAUAAUAUAAUCUCUUAUUUCUUGCUGCAUUCCUGUAACAUCCAGGGUGAUGAUUUGUGCAUUACAUAAACACUUGAUAAUAUAAUCUCUUAUUUCUUGCUGCAUUCCUGUAACAUCCAGGGUGAUAUUUUGUGCAUUACAUAAACACUCGUUGAUAUAUAAUGUUUCAAUUUCUCGCUGCAUUUUUGUAACAUCCGUAUUAUGUGCAUUACAUGAACACUUGAUAUAAUCUCUUAUUUUUCGCUGCAUUCUUGUAACAUCCGGGGCGAUACUCUGCGUGAUGUUUUGUGCAUUGCAUAAAUACUGGAUGUAAUGUGUUAGUUUCUUGGGGCAUCCUUGUAACAUGUUUUGUGCAUUACAUAAAUACUGGAUGUAAUGUGAUAGUUUCUUGGGGCAUCCUUGUAACAUGUUUUGUGCAUUACAUAAAUACUGGAUGUAAUGUGAUAGUUUCUUGGGGCAUCCUUGUAACAUGUUUUGUGCAUUACAUAAAUACUGGAUGUAA